AGUGAACGCUGGCGGUAGGCCUAACACAUGCAAGUCGAACGGCAGCACAGUAAGAGCUUGCUCUUACGGGUGGCGAGUGGCGGACGGGUGAGGAAUACAUCGGAAUCUACUUUUUCGUGGGGGAUAACGUAGGGAAACUUACGCUAAUACCGCAUACGACCUACGGGUGAAAGCAGGGGAUCUUCGGACCUUGCGCGAUUGAAUGAGCCGAUGUCGGAUUAGCUAGUUGGCGGGGUAAAGGCCCACCAAGGCGACGAUCCGUAGCUGGUCUGAGAGGAUGAUCAGCCACACUGGAACUGAGACACGGUCCAGACUCCUACGGGAGGCAGCAGUGGGGAAUAUUGGACAAUGGGCGAAAGCCUGAUCCAGCCAUACCGCGUGGGUGAAGAAGGCCUUCGGGUUGUAAAGCCCUUUUGUUGGGAAAGAAAAGCAGCAGGUUAAUACCCCGCUGUUCUGACGGUACCCAUAGAAUAAGCACCGGCUAACUUCGUG
rnacentral:rRNA from 1 species